AGAGUUUGAUCCUGGGCUUAGGAUGAACGCUUGGCGGCGUUGCCUAACACAUUGCAAGUCGAGCGAUCUCUUCAGAGAGAGCGGCGGACGGGUGAGUAACGCGUGGGUAACCUGCCCUGUACACACGGAUAACAUACCGAAAGGUAUACUAAUACGGGAUAACAUAUAAAAGUCGCAUGGCUUUUAUAUCAAAGCUCCGGCGGUACAGGAUGGACCCGCGUCUGAUUAGCUAGUUGGUAAGGUAAUGGCUUACCAAGGCAACGAUCAGUAGCCGACCUGAGAGGGUGAUCGGCCACACUGGAACUGAGACACGGUCCAGACUCCUACGGGAGGCAGCAGUGGGGAAUAUUGCACAAUGGGCGAAAGCCUGAUGCAGCAACGCCGCGUGAGCGAUGAAGGCCUUCGGGUCGUAAAGCUCUGUCCUCAAGGAAGAUAAUGACGGUACUUGAGGAGGAAGCCCCGGCUAGCUACGUGCCAGCAGCCGCGGUAAUACGUAGGGGGCUAGCGUUAUCCGGAAUUACUGGGCGUAAAGGGUGCGUAGGUGGUUUUUUAAGUCAGAAGUGAAAGGCUACGGCUCAACCGUAGUAAGCUUUUGAAACUAGAGAACUUGAGUGCAGGAGAGGAGAGUAGAAUUCCUAGUGUAGCGGUGAAAUGCGUAGAUAUUAGAGGAAUACCAGUAGCGAAGGCGGCUCUCUGGACUGUAACUGACACUGAGGCACGAAAGCGUGGGGGAGCAAACAGGAUUAGAUACCCUGGUAGACACGCCGUAAACGAUGAGUACUAG
rnacentral:rRNA from 1 species